rnacentral:pre_miRNA from 1 species
GAUACCGAGCUCUGUCCUUGUGGCCUUUGCCAAGGCAAGGACAUAGAAGCCCGGC